rnacentral:rRNA from 1 species
UACGGAGGGAGCUAGCGUUGUUCGGAAUUACUGGGCGUAAAGCGUGCGCAGGCGGUUGUGCAAGACCGAUGUGAAAUCCCCGGGCUUAACCUGGGAAUGGCAUUGGUGACUGCACGGCUAGAGUGUGUCAGAGGGGGGUAGAAUUCCACGUGUAGCAGUGAAAUGCGUAGAGAUGUGGAGGAAUACCGAUGGCGAAGGCAGCCCCCUGGGAUAACACUGACGCUCAUGCACGAAAGCGUGGGGAGCAAACAGG